GAGCACGUAGGUGGGUUUGUAAGUCAGAUGUGAAAGCCUUCUGUUCAACGGAAGAAUUGCAUCUGAAACUGCGAGUCUUGAGUGUAGGAGGGGAGAAUGGAACUUCUGGUGGAGCGGUGAAAUGCGUAGAUAUUAGAAGGAACUCCGGCGGCGAAAGCGAUUCUCUGGCCUAUUACUGACACUCAGUGUGCGAAAGCUAGGGGAGCAAACGGGAUUAGAUACCCCGGUAGUCCUAGCCGUAAACGAUGGGCACUAAGUAGAGGGGUUUU
rnacentral:rRNA from 1 species